GCAGUCGUGGCCGAGUGGUUAAGAUCGAUGGACUAGAAAUCCAUUGAAGCCUCCCCGCACAGGUUCGAAUCCUGUCGACUGCG
rnacentral:tRNA from 1 species